CCUUCUAAACAAUUCUAGUGUACUACAUUCUUGUAUAAAAUAUACAUGUAUUCAUGUACAUAAUAAUAAUAUUGAUGACUAGGAACCAUGCUAGCACAACAAUAUCAAUAGGGAUUACCAAUUUAAUGAGUUAAUCUCAUAGACAUUGCAUAUGCUCGCUAGAUGCCAUGUUUCAUAUUAGGGCACACAAAACUCAUAUUCAAGGCCUUCUUCAAGAUUCCUUAAUUCAAUUCAAAGCAUUUAUCCACUACUAAUAAUGCAAAAUUACAAUUUUUUUGCCUCUUCUUUCAUUUCUAAUCCUAAUAGCUUCCUCACCCUAUAGUGUCCAUUCACUUAAAUUGCAAAUUGUUGAUUGAAGCUCUUUAAGUGACACAACACUGAGAAUAAAAUUUCUACUUUGAAUUUCAAAGUAAUCUAUCCAAGAGAAAAAUAAAAAUAUAUAGUAUAAAGAUUAAAAAUUUUGACACCAUUCAUCAAAUAUUUAAAAAGGAAAAAGGGAAAGUAGAAUACUCUAAUAAUAUUUCUUCUUAAAAAUAUAUAGAUGUUUUGCAAGAAUACAAAUUU
rnacentral:lncRNA from 1 species